GACGAACUGCCCAAACGUUGUUCGGAAUCACUGGGCUUAAAGGGCGCGUAGGCGGCAGAUCAAGUCAGGGGUGAAAUCCGGCAGCUCAACUGUCGAAGUGCCUUUGAUACUGAUUUGCUCGAGGGAUAUAGGGGUCUGUGGAACUUCUGGUGGAGCGGUGAAAUGCGUUGAUAUCAGAAGGAACGCCGGUGGCGAAAGCGACGGACUGGAUAUCUUCUGACGCUGGAGGCGCGAAAGCUAGGGGAGCAAACGGG
rnacentral:rRNA from 1 species